rnacentral:tRNA from 1 species
AAUUUAUUAGUUUAAAUAAAACAUUACAUUUUCAAUGUAAAAAUAAAUUUAUUGAUUUAUAAAUUA